rnacentral:rRNA from 1 species
GGGGAAUAUUGGGCAAUGGGCGGAAGCCUGACCCAGCGACGCCGCGUAGGGGAAGAAGUCUUUCGGGAUGUAAACCCUUGUUGUACGGGACGAAGGAAGUGACGGUACCGUACGAGGAAGCCCCGGCAAACUACGUGCCAGCAGCCGCGGUAAUACGUAGGGGGCGAGCGUUGUCCGGAAUCACUGGGCGUAAAGCGCACGUAGGCGGGCUGUCAAGUCGGCCGUGAAAGGCAUGGGCUCAACCUGUGCAUGUCGGUCGAUACUGGCGGGCUGGAGGAUGGGGGAAGGAACUGGAAAUCCCGGUGGUGCGGUGGAAUGCGUAAGUAACGGGAAGAAAACCCGUGGCGAAGGCGGGUUCCUGGCCCAUGACUGACGGUGAGGGUCGAAAGCCGGGGGAGUGAACGG